rnacentral:rRNA from 1 species
GAUGAACGCUAGCUACAGGCUUAACACAUGCAAGUCGAGGGGUAACGAGAGGAAAGCUUGCUUUCCUUGUCGACGACCGGCGCACGGGUGAGUAACGCGUAUCCAACCUGCCCCCAACUAGGGAAUAACCUUGCGAAAGUAAGACUAAUACCCUAUAAUUUCCUCAGAUGUCAUCUGACGAGGAAUAAAGAUUUAUCGGUUGUGGAUGGGGAUGCGUCUGAUUAGCUUGUUGGCGGGGUAACGGCCCACCAAGGCAACGAUCAGUAGGGGUUCUGAGAGGAAGGUCCCCCACAUCGGAACUUAGACACGGUCCAAACUCCUACGGGAGGCAGCAGUGAGGAAUAUUGGUCAAUGGGCGGAAGCCUGAACCAGCCAAGUAGCGUGCAGGAUGACGGCCCUAUGGGUUGUAAACUGCUUUUAUACAGGAAUAAAGUUAGCCACGUGUGGUUAUUUGUAGGUACUGUAUGAAUAAGGACCGGCUAAUUCCGUGCCAGCCGCCGCGGUAA